AGGUCAAGCUACAAAGAGCUAACGGUAGAGCCCUCGGCACACAGAGGCGAAGAAGGACGUGGUAACCGACGAAACGCUACGGGGAGCUGGAAACAAGCAUUGAGCCGUAGGUGUCCGAAUGGGAAAACCCCUUUGAACGGUCUGCUGAAUCUAUAGGCAGACACGAGCCAACGCGGUGAACUGAAACAUCUUAGUAGCUGUAGGAAAAGAAAACAACCGUGAUUCCCCUAGUAGCGGCGAGCGAACGGGGAAAAGCCUAAACCAGUUACUGCGGUAGCUGGGGUAGAGGGACAGCAUCACGGGACAGGAAAAGUUAAACGAAGCAGCUGAAAACUGCACCAGAGAAGGUAAAAGUCCUGUAGUUGAAAACCAGACCUGCCCAGCUGUAUCCCGAGUAGCUCGGAACACGAGAAAUCCCGAGUGAAUCAGCCAGGACCACCUGGUAAGGCUAAAUACUCCUGUGUGACCGAUAGCGAACCAGUACCGCGAGGGAAAGGUGAAAAGAACCCCGGCGAGGGGAGUGAAAAAGAACGUGAAACCGUUAGCUUACAAGCAGUGGGAGGACGAUUAAACGUCUGACCGCGUGCCUGUUGAAGAAUGAGCCAGCGAGUAAUUGCUAGUGGCCGGUUAAGCUGGAAACAGCGAAGCCCAAGGGAAACCGAGUCUGAAAAGGGCGUAAGUCACCAGCAAUUGACCCGAACCCGGGUGAACUAACCAUGGCCAGGAGGAAGCUUGGGUAGUACCAAGUGGAAGUCCGAACCGACCAACGUUGAAAAGUUGGCGGAUGAGCUGUGGUUAGCGGUGAAAUGCCAAUCGAACUCGGAGCUAUCUGGUUCUCCCCGAAAUGCGUUUAGGCGCAGCAGCGACAACAACCCACUGGGGGUAAAGCACUGUUUCGCUGCGGGCUGCGAAAGCGGUACCAAAGCGAGGCAAACUCAGAAUACCAGUGGCGAGGUCGCCAGUGAGACGGUGGGGGAUAAGCUUCAUCGUCAAGAGGGAAACAGCCCAGACCACCAGCUAAGGUCCCCAAAUGAUGGCUAAGUGAAAAAGGAGGUAGGAACGCAAAGACAACCAGGAGGUUUGCCUAGAAGCAGCCACCCUUAAAAGAGUGCGUAAUAGCUCACUGGUCAAGCGUUCCCGCGCCGAAAAUGAACGGGGCUAAGUCAUCUACCGAAGCUGUGGACUCAUUUAUGAGUGGUAGGGGAGCGUUGUUAAGCGGGAGAAGCACUAGCGGCAAGCAGGUGUGGACGCUUAACAAGUGAGAAUGUUGGCUUGAGUAGCGAAAACUUUGGUAAGAAUCCAAAGCCCCGAAACCCCAAGGGUUCCUCCGGAAGGCUCGUCCGCGGAGGGUUAGUCAGGACCUAAGGCGAGGCGGAAACGCGUAGUCGAUGGACAACGGGUGAAUAAUCCCGUACUAGUGUGAGUUGGUGUCGGGGGACGGAGAAGGUUUAACUCAGCCCAGGGAUGGAAAACUGGGUGCAAGCGUUCGAAGGUGAAGACGGGUGGCGAAAACACCCCGAGCUAAGGCGUGAGACCGACUCGCUACGGCGAGGAAGUGAGACAAAUCAGACUCCCCAGAAAAGCCCGAAGCACCAAAAACUCAGACUACCUGUACCCGAAACCGACACAGGUGGGGAAGUAGAGAAUACUAAGGGGCGCGAGAAAACUCUCUCUAAGGAACUCGGCAAAAUCACCCCGUAACUUCGGGAGAAGGGGUACCAGCGAGAGCUGGUCGCAGUGAAGAGGCCCAGGCGACUGUUUACCAAAAACACAGGUCUCCGCCAACUCGAAAGAGGAAGUAUGGGGGCUGACGCCUGCCCAGUGCUGGAAGGUUAAGGAAGUUGGUUAGUCCUUCGGGACGAAGCUAGCAACCGAAGCCCCAGUGAACGGCGGCCGUAACUAUAACGGUCCUAAGGUAGCGAAAUUCCUUGUCGGGUAAGUUCCGACCCGCACGAAAGGCGUAACGAUCUGGGCGCUGUCUCGGAGAGAGACUCGGCGAAAUAGGAGUGUCUGUGAAGAUACGGACUACCUACACCAGGACAGAAAGACCCCAUGAAGCUUUACUGUAACCUGAAGUGGGGUUCGGGCUGAGCUUGCGCAGGAUAGGUGGGAGGCGAAGAAAGUUUCCUUGUGGGGAAACUGGAGCCAUCCUUGAGAUACCACUCUGGUUCAGCUAGAAUUCUAACCUUCACCCGUAAACCGGGGAAGGGACAGCUGCAGGCGGGCAGUUUGACUGGGGCGGUCGCCUCCUAAAAGGUAACGGAGGCGCGCCAAGGUUCCCUCAGGCUGGUUGGAAAUCAGCCGCAGAGUGCAAAGGCAGAAGGGAGCUUGACUGUAAGACUGACAAGUCGAGCAGGGACGAAAGUCGGCCUUAGUGAUCCGACGGCCCUGCGUGGAAAGGCCGUCGCUCAACGGAUAAAAGUUACUCUGGGGAUAACAGGCUGAUCUCCCCCAAGAGUUCACAUCGACGGGGAGGUUUGGCACCUCGAUGUCGGCUCAUCGCAACCUGGGGCUGAAGUCGGUCCCAAGGGUUGGGCUGUUCGCCCAUUAAAGCGGUACGCGAGCUGGGUUCAGAACGUCGUGAGACAGUUCGGUCCAUAUCCGGUGUAGGCGCAAGAGCAUUGAGAGGAGCCUUCCUUAGUACGAGAGGACCGGGAAGGACGCACCGCUGGUGUACCUGUUAUCGUGCCAACGGUAAACGCAGGGUAGCCAAGUGCGGAGCGGAUAACCGCUGAAAGCAUCUAAGUGGGAAGCCCACCUCAAGAUGAGUGCUCUCAUUCCGCAAAGGAAGUAAGGUCACAGGAAGAACACCUGUUUAUUCGGCGCUCGGUGGAAGUCUGGUAACAGAUGAAGCCAAAGCGUGCGAACCGACCGAGGGCUUGACCUC
rnacentral:rRNA from 1 species